rnacentral:lncRNA from 1 species
UCUCUCGAUGAAUGGGAAGAAAGAAACCACGACCAGACAUCAACGGAUGAAUGGGAAGAAAGAAACCACGACCAGACAUCUCUCUAAUGAAUGGGAAGAAAGAAACCACGACCAGGCUUCUCUCGAUGAAUGGGAAGAAAGAAACCACGACCAGACAUCAAUGGAUGAAUGGGAAGAAAGAAACCACGACCAGACAUCUCUCGAUGAAUGAAAAGAAAGAAAUCACAACCAGACAUCUCUCGAUGAAUGGGAAGAAAGAAACCACGACCAGACAUCUCUCGGAUGAAUGGGAAGAAAAAAACCACGACCAGACAUCUCUUGAUGAAUGGGAAGAAAGAAACCACGACCAGACAUCUCUCGGAUGAAUGGGAAGAAAGAAACCACGACCAGACAUCAACGGAUGAAUGGGAAGAAAGAAACCACGACCAGACNAAGAAACCACGACCAGACAUCAACGGAUGAAUGGGAAGAAAGAAACCACGACCAGACAUCUCUCGAUGAAUGGGAAGAAAGAAACCACGACCAGACAUCUCUCGAUGAAUAGGAAGAAAGAAACCACAACCAGACAUCAACGGAUGAAUGGGAAGAAAGAAACCACAACCAGACAUCUCUCGGAUGAAUGGGAAGAAAGAAACCACAACCAGACAUCCCUCGGAUGAAUGGGAAGAAAGAAACCACGACCAGACAUCAACAGAUGAAUGGGAAGAAAGAAACCACGACCAGACAUCUCUCGGAUGAAUGGGAAGAAAGAAACCACGAUCAGACAUCAACAGAUGAAUGGGAAGAAAGAAACCACGACCAGACAUCUCUCGGAUGAAUGGGAAGAAAGAAACCACGACCAGACAUCAACGGAUGACUGGGAAGAAAGAAACCACGACCAGACAUCUCUCGGAUGAAUGGGAUGAAAGAAACCACGACCAGACAUCUCUCGAUGAAUGG